rnacentral:lncRNA from 1 species
AUGAUGGGUUGUGUUGUCAAAUUUCAAGGUUGGGGGGCCUGUAGUUUUGUUGUUUUGUGGGUCGCCGUGAUGCCAUCACUCUUUUAUAUAUAUAGAUGUUUCAGCACUCUCUGUUUAAAGAUUGCUGUACUUUUUCAUCUAAUUUCAUAAAAGCCUCCAAAGAAGGAGCCUCCACACACUCCAGAGCAGAGAGUUCCACUUUUGAACAGCUCUCACAGUGAGGAAGUUCUUCCUAAUGUUCAGGUGGAAUCUCCUUUCCUGUAGGUUGAAGCCAUUGUUCCAUGUCCUAGUCUCCAGGGUAGCAGAAAAUAAACUUUCUCCCUCCUCCCUAUGACUUCCCCUCACAUAUAUACAUGGCUAUCUCUCAGCCUUCUCUUCUGCAGGCUAAACAUGCCCAGUUCUCUAAGCCACUCCUCAUAGGGCUUGUUCUCCAGAACCUUGAUCAUUUUAGUUGCCCUCCUCUGGACACAUUCUAGCUUGUCAACAUCUCCCUUCAACUGCGUUGCUCAGAAUUGGACACAGUAUUCCAGGUGUGGUCUGACCAAGGCAGAAUAGAGGGGGAGCAUGACUUCCCUGGAUCUAGACACUAUACUCCUAUUUAUGCAGGCCAAAAUCCCAUUGGCAUUUUUGCUGCCGCAUCACAUUGUUGGCUCGUGUUUAACUUGUUGUCCAUGAGAACGCCAAGAUCUUUUUCACACGUACUGCUGUCGAGCCAGGCGUCCCCCAUUCUGUAUCUUUGCAUUUAAUUUUUUCUGCCUAAGUGAAGUCAUGGUAGAUAAAGUGGUUUAAAACUGCAUUCAUUCUACAAUGUGGGUGCAUCCUAAGUCUAUGAAAGCUUAUGAUACAACUUUUUCUUAUAAAUCUCAAAGGUGCUACAAGGUCACUUAGCAUAGUGAUAUUCCAGUCUAACAUGGUUGUCUCUUUGAGGACUUCUUGGAUUCAGGGAAACAGGGAUGGCUGUGGAAAAGGAAGAAAAAAAAAUCCAUAGUCAUUUAUAUAUGUGUGUACCAAUUCAAAAUGAAUUACGUUGCUGUCAUGAGCUAUUGGAAACCACUACGGAACUGUAGUUUUGUUUAAGGAGUAAUGGAUUAACAAUGUUCAUUUAGGAUUACUUUGAGUUAUGCAGGCUUGAAAACAAGGUAUAGUCGCUGCUGUCAGAGCUAAUUGCUAGGCGAGCUUGGGGUCUGCUUUGCAGCUGUGGCAAAACGCUUCAUGCAUAUUGAAGAAAAUAACAGCCACUCACCAGGCUCAUAAUUAGAGUAUUUCCCAUUCAUGGAAUAUGCUGAAAACAGGCUAACCUCAGACCCAAU